rnacentral:rRNA from 1 species
GUGGGGAAUCUUGCGCAAUGGGCGAAAGCCUGACGCAGCCAUGUCGCGUGAAUGAUGAAGGUCUUAGGAUUGUAAAAUUCUUUCACCGGGGACGAUAAUGACGGUACCCUGAGAAGAAGCUCCGGCUAACUUCGUGCCAGCAGCCGCGGUAAUACGAAGGGGGCUAGCGUUGCUCGGAAUUACUGGGCGUAAAGGGCGCGUAGGCGGACAGCUUAGUCAGAGGUGAAAGCCCAGGGCUCAACCUUGGAAUUGCCUUUGAUACUGGCUGUCUUGAGUUUGGGAGAGGUGAGUGGAACUCCGAGUGUAGAGGUGAAAUUCGUAGAUAUUCGGAAGAACACCAGUGGCGAAGGCGACUCACUGGCCCAAUACUGACGCUGAGGCGCGAAAGCGUGGGGAGCAAACAGGAUUAGAAACCCUGGUAGUCC